rnacentral:rRNA from 1 species
ACCCCCGCACAAGCGGUGGAUCAUGUUGUUUAAUUCGAUGAUACGCGAAGAACCUUACCAGGUCUUGACAUCCCCCGCGAUGCUUUAGAGAUAAAGCGGAGGUAUUCGGGGAGACAGGUGGUGCAUGGUUGUCGUCAGCUCGUGUCGUGAGAUGUUGGGUUAAGUCCCGCAACGAGCGCAACCCCUAUUGCUAGUUACCAUCAUUAAGUUGGGGACUCUAGCGGGACUGCCAGUGAUAAACUGGAGGAAGUGGGGAUGACGUCAAAUCAUCAUGCCCCUUAUGACCUGGGCUACAAACGUGAUACAAUGGCUGGAGCAAAGGGAUGCGAAGCAGUGAUGUGGAGCGAAACCCAUAAAAACAGUCUCAGUUCGGAUUGAAGUCUGCAACUCGACUUCAUGAAGUCGGAAUCGCUAGUAAUCGCGGAUCAGAACGCCGCGGUGAAUACGUUCUCGGGGUUU